rnacentral:rRNA from 1 species
GCCUCUUGGACUGGGACAACUGUUGGAAACGACAGCUAAUACCGGAUAUUAUGAGAUUCUCGCAUGAGAAACUUAUGAAAGCUAUAUGCGCCAAGAGAGAGCCUUGCGUUCCAUUAGCUAGUUGGUGGGGUAACGGCCCACCAAGGCGACGAUGGAUAGCCGGCCUGAGAGGGUGAACGGCCACAAGGGGACUGAGACACGGCCCUUACUCCUACGGGAGGCAGCAGUGGGGAAUAUUGGACAAUGGGCCACAAGCCUGAUCCAGCAAUUCUGUGUGCACGAUGAAGGUCUUCGGAUUGUAAAGUGCUUUCAGUUGGGAAGAAGAAAGUGACGGUACCAACAGAAGAAGCGACGGCUAAAUACGUGCCAGCAGCCGCGGUAAUACGUAUGUCGCAAGCGUUAUCCGGAUUUAUUGGGCGUAAAGCGCGUCUAGGCGGAAAAAUAAGUCUGAUGUUAAAAUGCGGGGCUCAACUCCGUAUUGCGUUGGAAACUGUUUUUCUAGAGUACUGGAGAGGUGGGCGGAACUACAAGUGUAGAGGUGAAAUUCGUAGAUAUUUGUAGGAAUGCCGAUGGAGAAGUCAGCUCACUGGACAGAUACUGACGCUGAAGCGCGAAAGCGUGGG